rnacentral:lncRNA from 1 species
CGCGCUGAACAAGACCGGCAAAAGGCGGGGGCUAGGCGUGCCCAGGAGACUCCCGAAGAACAAGGGGGAAUUGAAU